GCGCGGGCAGCUCACUAGUAGAGCGUUCGAUUGCAGCUCGAAUGGUCACUGAUUCAAUUCUGGUCUUGCGCU
rnacentral:tRNA from 1 species